ACUUAGUGGUCACCUUGGUUACUGGCUCAAUUGUUAGAUCCACUGUCACAGUAUUGCAAGACCUGUAUUAAAUUAACCCCCACCUAGUAGUCUAACUAAAUCACGAUGCCUAUGUGACUGGUCUCACUUCAUCUCAUCACAUGGACAGUGUAUCUUCUCACACCAUCAUAAGAAGGGCAGAUUGCUGAUAUCUGCAUGUAGGGCUUAGGUCCUAAAUAUGGCAUAAUCAAGAUUAUCCAUGGAGAUCCCUUAAGUUGCUCACCAGUGCUCUUAUGUAUACGACUUUCCUGGCUAAUUGUUAUGAUUUUCACUAAACUUUGAAAACCCCAGAGAAAAACUGAAAGGAAGAACAGAGUGUUGGCUGUUGAAACCUGGCUCCCAGAAAACACCUGUAAAACAAGCUGUGGAGAAGGCUGAGCUGUACUUCCUGUGCACAGUGAUAAGGGGAGACCCUCCUUGGCAGACUACACAGCAACAGGAAAGGAAGACAAAUUGGGAUAUGCAUCAGGUUUCAAAACUGGCCUUGCAAUGGGUUUGGCCAAGGAUCAUGAUAAGUUUGUUUAGGGUCAGUGGACACAAGGUGAAGCUUUCAAAGAAUCUCAGAGAGUAAACAGUCGUUUUAAUGGUAUCCAUUGAAAAGUUUAUGGGUUUUAUGUUGAUUUCAGUGAGAACUGGGGGGAAGUUCUUGAACAAUCAAAUUAUUUGCAAAUUUUAUUUCUCUGGUCAAGAGGUUUUUGGAAUAAAGUCAAAGGAAUGAUAAAGUCUAUAAAUGUAGGCAGUAAACUCCACGAAUUUUAGUGGUUUCCCAGGUCUCAAUAUUAUGCAUAUAUCUUGCUUUCUAAAACAUUUCUGCCUCUAAGAUAAUUAUUAAUCUCUUGAAAGGCUAAUGGGGAAUGGAUGGUGAAUUGUAAAUCUGUUUUACUUGAAGUGCAGUCUAUAAACCAAUGUUGAUCCAGAUCCUGUUAUUGGUCUGCAAAUAUAUAAAUACAGAAA